UUGCAAGGUGUUAUCAUAUAAGUAUCUUGCUUCUUCUUCGGCCUGUUCGGGUCCAGUGAGGCAAUGUAUAGAGGACAGUUCCUCUUCCAGUGCCCCUGCUUCUUGCAAAAGAAGCACUCCGUCUGGCUCUGGUCGGGCUUGCACUUCUUGGUCUGACCCUGUGCAGACAUCCCAGCAUGCGGCUGCACCUUCUUAUUCUUCUUCUUCUUAUUCUUCUUCCCUUUCUUAAAAGGUCGACGACCAGAAGAAGACC
rnacentral:lncRNA from 1 species